rnacentral:rRNA from 1 species
UAUAUUCAUUAUAUUAUUAAUUAAUAUAAUGAAAAGGAAUUAAGACAAAUCAUAAUGACCUUUAUAAUAUGGGCUAUAAACAUACUAUAAUAAAAUGAUAAUAAAAUUAUAUAAAUUAAAAAUAAUAAUAAAUUAAUAAUAUAAAACAUUUUAAUCUUUAAUAUAUUAUUUAUAUUAUAUUAAUUAUAUGAAUUAUAAUCUGAAACUCGAUUAUAUGAAAUAAGAAUUACUAGUAAUACGUAAAUAAUUAUGUUACGGU